UACGAAGGGGGCUAGCGUUGUUCGGAAUUACUGGGCGUAAAGCGCACGUAGGCGGAAUGUUAAGUCAGGGGUGAAAUCCCGGGGCUCAACCCCGGAACUGCCUUUGAUACUGGCAUUCUCGAGUCCGGAAGAGGUGAGUGGAAUUCCGAGUGUAGAGGUGAAAUUCGUAGAUAUUCGGAGGAACAUCAGUGGCGAAGGCGGCUCACUGGUCCGGUACUGACGCUGAGGUGCGAAAGCGUGGGGAGCAAACAGG
rnacentral:rRNA from 1 species